UUAAAUUGCUGUAGUAUUUUGACUAUACAAAGGUAUUGUAAUAAGACUUUAAUUGAGUGCUAAGAGAAUGGACUUUCAAAAAAAUUCUUUUUUAAAUUUAAAAAUUAAAGUUAUUUUUAUUUGUGAAGAAACAAUAAUGAAAAUUAUAGACAAGAAGACCCUAUGAAUUUUAACUAAAUUAAACUAAGGCCUUAGUUUAAUUUAGUUUAAUUGGGGCGAUUAAAAAAAAUAAUAAACUUUUUAUAAAAUAAAAUGAUCCAUAAAUUAUGAUUAAAUGUAAUAAAUACUCUAGGGAUAACAGCG
rnacentral:rRNA from 1 species